CUUUCGCUGAUGAGUCCCAAAUAGAACGAAACGCGCAUCCUGGAC
rnacentral:hammerhead_ribozyme from 1 species